CACGGACGCACGAACGUUAUUCGGUAUCACUGGGCUUAAAGGGUGCGUAGGCGGCUUUGCAAGUUGGGUGUGAAAGCCCUCGGCUCAACCGAGGAAUUGCGCUCAAUACUGCCGAGCUCGAGAGAGACAGAGGUAAGCGGAACUAAUGGUGGAGCGGUGAAAUGCGUUGAUAUCAUUAGGAACACCGGUGGCGAAGGCGGCUUACUGGGUCUUUUCUGACGCUGAGGCACGAAAGCCAGGGGAGCGAACGGG
rnacentral:rRNA from 1 species